rnacentral:rRNA from 1 species
GAUGAACGCUGGCGGCGUGCCUAAUACAUGCAAGUCGAGCGGACGGACGAGAAUCUUGCUUCUCUGAUGUUAGCGGCGGACGGGUGAGUAACACGUGGCUAACCUACCUAUAAGACUUGGAUUACUUCGGGAAACCGGAGCUAAUACCGGAUAAUAUUUUGAACCGCAUGGUUCAAAAGUGAAAGACGGUCUUGCUGUCACUUAUAGAUGGAUCCGCGCUGCAUUAGCGAGUUGGUAAGGUAACGGCUUACCAAGGCAACGAUGCAUAGCCGACCUGAGAGGGUGAACGGGCACACUGGAAGUGAGACACGGUCAAGACUCCUACGGGAGGCAGCAGUAGGGAAUCUUCCGAGAUGGGAGAAAGCCUGACGGAGCAACGCCGCGUGAGUGAUGAAGGUCUGCGGAUCGUAAAACUCUGUUAUUAGGGAAGAACAUAUGUGUAAGUAACUGUGCACAGCGUGACGGUACCUAAUCAGAAAGCCACGGCUAACUACGUG